CUAUUUAAAACGAGAAGAACGGACGUUCGAGAAGAGCCGGAGUAAGUAGAUUUAUAAAAAAAAUUCGUAUAUUAAAAAAAGUUGUAUUUAAAUUACAUGUAAAUCAUCAUAUUGUAUUGAAGUUUAUUAUAAAAAAGAAAUUUGGAAAAAAAAUUGAAAGUGGUUAAUUCAUUCCAUUUUGGUUAUUCCCGAUCAUCGACCCUUAAUUCCCAACACCAUCUACCUUCACGCCACACUUGAUAACCCAAUAUCGUUCUUUCAGCC
rnacentral:lncRNA from 1 species